rnacentral:misc_RNA from 1 species
CCAGAGAUGGCGGGCCCCCGCGCCCCCGUCCCCAACCCUUUGCUGACCAAAACCAUUUUGCCUCGGGGGUAGAGCGUCCGCCGCCGCCCCCGGAGGACCACCGAACGCUGUCUCUGUACGUCGGAGUAUUGAUUAAAUGAAUGA